rnacentral:rRNA from 1 species
UACGUAGGGUGCAAGCGUUUGUCCGGAAUUAUUGGGCGUAAAGAGCUCGUAGGCGGCUAGUCGCGUCGGCUGUGAAAACCUGGGGCUCAACCCCGGGCCUGCAGCCGAUACGGGCUAGCUAGAAUUCGGUAGGGGAGACUGGAAUUCCUGGUGUAGCGGUGAAAUGCGCAGAUAUCAGGAGGAACACCGGUGGCGAAGGCGGGUCUCUGGGCCGAUAUUGACGCUGAGGAGCGAAAGCGUGGGGAGCGAACAGG